rnacentral:rRNA from 1 species
AUUGAACGCUGGCGGCAGGCUUAACACAUGCAAGUCGAGCGGGGGGAAGGUAGCUUGCUACCUAACCUAGCGGCGGACGGGUGAGUAAUGCUUAGGAAUCUGCCUAUUAGUGGGGGACAACAUUUCGAAAGGGAUGCUAAUACCGCAUACACCCUAAGGGGGAAAGCAGGGGAUCUUCGGACCUUGCGCUAAUAGAUGAGCCUAAGUCGGAUUAGCUAGUUGGUGGGGUAAAGGCCUACCAAGGCGACGAUCUGUGGCGGGUCUGAGAGGAUGAUCCGCCACACUGGGGCUGAGACACGGCCCAGACUCCUACGGGAGGCAGCAAUGGGGAAUAUUGGACAAUGGGGGGAACCCUGAUCCAGCCAUGCCGCGUGUGUGAAGAAGGCCUUUUGGUUGUAAAGCACGUUAAGCGAGGAGGAGGCUACCGAGAUUAAUACUCUUGGAUAGUGGACGUUACUCGCAGAAUAAGCACCGGCUAACUCUGUGCCAGCCGCCGCCGUAAUAC